CGUCCCCGACCGAGUGUCUGAAUUGUGUCAUCUUCUUUCUGCGGAACAAGAAAUCAAUUCGAUACUAGUAACUACCUUUCUCACGGGUCGGUCAGAGCAACCAAACUUUCGGCGAUCCAUCCCGGUAAAUGGGCGAUUACGAGCCUGUACCGGACUUCGAACAGCAACCCCAUACCGACAGGAGAACCACACGUAUCGCCUCCCUCGAUGUCUUUCGCGGCCUCUGUGUCUUCCUCAUGAUGCUAGUUGAUUAUGCCGGGUCGAUUUUUCCAAUAAUUUCUCAUUCCCCGUGGGAUGGGAUUCAUUUGGCUGAUUUUGUGAUGCCUUUCUUUCUAUUCGUUGCUGGGGUUUCUCCUGCCCUUGUGUACAAGAAAGUACCCAACCGAGUAGAGGCUACAGGGAAGGCAGUGGGUAGGGCAGUGAAGCUUUUUCUUCUGGGUGUUGUUCUUCAAGGUGGUUAUCUGCAUGGAGUAAAUUCCUUGACAUUUGGCGUUGACGUCGAAAAAAUAAGGUGGAUGGGCAUUUUGCAGAGGAUAUCUAUUGGAUAUAUUGUUGCGGCUUUAUGUGAGAUCUGGCUUACAUUUAGAACAUGGAGGGAAGAAGGUUUUUUCAAGGGUUACUACUGGCACUGGUGUAUUGCGUUUUCACUGUCAGCAGUAUACUUGCUGCUAUCAUAUGGUCUAUAUGUUCCAAACUGGCAAUUCACAGUACCUUCCUCAGCCUCUUCUUUGCCACCAUCAAAUGAUAGCAAUGUUUACAUGGUAAAAUGUGCUGUGAGAGGUGAUCUCGGACCUGCCUGUAAUUCUGCUGGAAUGAUCGACCGUUAUAUUCUAGGGAUUGACCAUCUAUAUAAGAAACCUGUUUACAGAAACUUGAAGGAGUGCAAAAUAUCUGCCAAUGGUCAAGUUUCAGAGAGUUCACCUCCAUGGUGUCAUGCUCCUUUUGAUCCUGAAGGUAUCUUAAGCUCCUUAACAGCAGCUGUGACUUGCAUUUUUGGACUUCAAUAUGGACAUGUUCUUGCUAACUUACAGGACCACGAGGGGCGCCUAAAGAACUGGUCCUUGUUUUCAACUUCUAUGUUUGUCAUUGGACUUCUCCUUGCCUUCACUGGCAUCCCUCUAAAUAAAUCUCUGUAUACAGUCAGUUAUAUGCUGAUUACUUCUGCAUCUGCGGGGAUCACAUUUUGUGCUUUAUAUUUAUUGGUAGAUGUUUAUGGUUACAGACGGUUGACAUCUGUGUUGGAGUGGAUGGGAAGGCAUUCUUUGAGUAUCUUUGUCGUCAUAGCUUCUAACUUAGCUAUCAUUGCAAUUCAAGGAUUCUACUGGACUGUUCCUGAUAAUAAUAUUGUGAACUACUGGUGCUCCUUGUUUAGGCCGUGAAAGAUGUCGAAGGAAGUGAGCGAAGAGGGACACAGGCACCAACAUGGCAAGGACUACGUAGAUCCUCCACCCGCACCACUCAUUGACUUGGCCGAGCUAAAGCUCUGGUCUUUCUACCGCGCUCUCAUCGCCGAGUUUAUCGCUACUCUUCUCUUCCUCUAUAUCACCGUUGCCACCGUCAUCGGGUACAAGAAGUCCGGACCCUGUGACGGCGUCGGUCUUCUGGGUAUCGCUUGGGCCUUUGGCGGCAUGAUCUUCGUCCUCGUCUACUGCACCGCCGGUAUCUCUGGUGGGCAUAUCAACCCGGCUGUGACAUUCGGGCUGUUCUUGGCCAGGAAGGUGUCGCUGAUCAGGGCUGUGGCGUACAUGGUGGCACAGUGCUUGGGAGCUAUCUGUGGUGUUGGGUUGGUUAAGGCUUUCAUGAAGCAUGACUACAACACACUUGGCGGUGGAACCAACUCUGUGGCUCAAGGGUACAGCAAGGGCACAGCUUUGGGUGCUGAGAUCAUUGGUACCUUUGUGCUGGUCUACACCGUUUUCUCAGCCACUGACCCAAAGAGAAGCGCACGUGACUCACACGUACCUGUGUUGGCUCCACUCCCUAUAGGGUUCGCUGUGUUCAUUGUGCACUUGGCUACCAUUCCCAUCACUGGUACUGGUAUUAACCCAGCUAGGAGCUUUGGUGCUGCUGUUAUCUACGAUAACGAUAAAGUCUGGGAUGAGCACUGGAUUUUCUGGGUUGGUCCGUUUGUGGGAGCACUGGCCGCAGCAGCAUACCACCAGUACAUCUUGAGAGCAGCGGCUAUCAAAGCUUUGGGGUCUUUCCGCAGCAACCUCACCAACUAAGCAACCAAAACCACCUCCGAAAAGGAACUUUAUUUUUUAAUGUCCCAUUUCUCUUUCUCCCCUAUUUGUUUGUUUGCGUGUAUGUUUGCGUGUAUGCGAGGAUGUUCAUGAUGAUGACUUUUCUUCUUUUUCUUGUUUUAUUUAUAAGUAAAUCUCUGUUGUUAGCAUUAAUGUACGUUGAUUGUUUAAAACAGUGGUACUGCUCUGCUUUUUUAAUCCCUUUAA